AGAGACAGCCCUUUCUAACAAAACUAAACUCUGUGGGCACUGUAACAGUCACUGAAGUUUGCUCUAAUCACUCUACCAGGCUACUUGGCAUUUCCUGGGCAUGCAUGAGAGUCAGCUAAGCCAAGGAUGGGUUCCAGUGUGAUGUAAGUCAUCCAGGCUGCGUGCCUCACUAUGAUGAUGCAACUGAAAAGCUCAAACAGCCAUUAUCAAGAUGACAAGGAUGAGUUUUAAGAUGGAGAGGGCCAUCCACAAACUCUCUCCAAGCCUCCACAGAAUAAUGGAGAAAAUGAAACACAUUUCAGGAAGUCUGAUUUUACUUUGCAGGCUCUGGUUAGGUUGCACAUGUGAGUGGUCAACACCUCCCCCCUCCAUUGAUGUGUAAAGUACCAAUCUAGCAUUAUUAAUUUGUAUGGUAAUCAAAAGGAAGUCACAUUUUUACCUUAUGAACACAAUGAAAUUAAAGUCUAGCAUCAUUUCUAACAUCUGAUUUUACAGCUGGCAUUUACAUCUAAUUUUCAUUUGCUAAUUUCUUCCAGGAGGCUGCUGUAUAAUUUCAAAUACAAUUCUAUUACAGACAAAAUAAGUAAUCAAGUCUCAGCACCAGCAUCUUCCACACAGCUUGAGUCUGAUGGAAGCCUGCUGAUAAUG
rnacentral:lncRNA from 1 species